rnacentral:rRNA from 1 species
GUAGGGAAUAUUGGACAAUGGGCGCAAGCCUGAUCCAGCAACGCCGCGUGGAUGAUGACGCUCCUUGGAGUGUAAAAUCCUGUCAGUGGGGACGAAACGCCUGGGUAGGAAAUGACCUCGGCCUGACUGUACCCGCAGAGGAAGUUCCGGCCAACUCCGUGCCAGCAGCCGCGGUAAUACGGGGGGAACGAGCGUUGUUCGGAUUUACUGGGCGUAAAGGGCACGCAGGCGGGAAAGCAAGUCAGCUGUGAAACCCCGGAGCUUAACUCCGGGACUGCAUUUGAUACUGCUUUUCUUGAGUACGAGAGAGGAUGGCGGAAUUCUUGGUGUAGCGGUGAAAUGCGUAGAUAUCAAGAAGAACACCGGUGGCGAAGGCGGCCAUCUGGCUCGAUACUGACGCUCAGGUGCGAAGGUCGGGGGAGCAAACAGGAUUAGAUACCCGUGUAGUCC